rnacentral:lncRNA from 1 species
GGAAGGAAACUGACAAAGCUUGUGAAAUCCCAAACCGGAUUGAUGUGCUGUGACCCCUGUAGCAUUCGGGCUGUCAAGAUUAAAGGAGCCUCCACUCUGUUUCGAAACUGCAACUCUUGUCCCCCAGACCUCAUCAACCCCACCUCUUGUUUUUGUUUUUGUUUUGUGUUUUUGGCCACAAGUCAACCACUCAUCAUAAGGUGGGCAAACCCCUCGGUCCACAUUUAAAUUUGUUUGUGUGACAAAUUGUCCUGCCGUUCCACCCUCUUAGCUACUGUAACCAGCAC